rnacentral:rRNA from 1 species
GACGAACGCUGGCGGUGUGCCUAACACAUGCAAGUCGAACGGUAAGGCCCUUUCGGGGGUACACGAGUGGCGAACGGGUGAGUAACACGUGAGUAACCUGCCCUCAUCUCUGGGAUAACAGUCGGAAACGGUUGCUAAUACUGGAUAUGAGCUUGCAAGGCAUCUUGUGAGUUGGAAAGAUUUUUUUUGGUUGGGGAUGGACUCGCGGCCUAUCAGCUUGUUGGUGAGGUAGUGGCUCACCAAGGCUUCGACGGGUAGCCGGCCUGAGAGGGCGACCGGCCACAUUGGGACUGAGAUACGGCCCAAACUCCUACGGGAGGCAGCAGUGGGGAAUAUUGCACAAUGGACGGAAGUCUGAUGCAGCAACGCCGCGUGCGGGAUGACGGCCUUCGGGUUGUAAACCGCUUUCAAUUGUGACGAAGCGUUUUUGUGACGGUAGCAGUAGAAGAAGCACCGGCUAACUACGUG